rnacentral:SRP_RNA from 1 species
CCGUGCUAGGUGGGGAGGUAGCGGUGCCCUGUAACCCGUAAUCCGCUAUAACGGGACUGAAUCCCCUUUUCAGCGGCUCGGCUUCUUUCAGGGUCGGGUCUCUGGGUAAGUGGUGUUGACAACUGGGUCUUGUACAAUAAGGACUUGCGAACCCCGUCAGGUCCGGGAGGAAGCAGCGGUAAGCAGGCACCCUUAGUUGCUGCAAGGGAGCCUGGUUCGAGCUAACUGCUCAGGAAGCGCCUGGGAGAGAGAGUCAAUGAGGGGUGCACGG